CGUACAAGCAGUGGGAGCACGCUUAGGCGUGUGACUGCGUACCUUUUGUAUAAUGGGUCAGCGACUUAUAUUCUGUAGCAAGGUUAACCGAAUAGGGGAGCCGAAGGGAAACCGAGUCUUAACUGGGCGUUAAGUUGCAGGGUAUAGACCCGAAACCCGGUGAUCUAGCCAUGGGCAGGUUGAAGGUUGGGUAACACUAACUGGAGGACCGAACCGACUAAUGUUGAAAAAUUAGCGGAUGACUUGUGGCUGGGGGUGAAAGGCCAAUCAAACCGGGAGAUAGCUGGUUCUCCCCGAAAGCUAUUUAGGUAGCGCCUCGUGAAUUCAUCUCCGGGGGUAGAGCACUGUUUCGGCAAGGGGGUCAUCCCGACUUACCAACCCGAUGCAAACUGCGAAUACCGGAGAAUGUUAUCACGGGAGACACACGGCGGGUGCUAACGUCCGUCGUGAAGAGGGAAACAACCCAGACCGCCAGCUAAGGUCCCAAAGUCAUGGUUAAGUGGGAAACGAUGUGGGAAGGCCCAGACAGCCAGGAUGUUGGCUUAGAAGCAGCCAUCAUUUAAAGAAAGCGUAAUAGCUCACUGGUCGAGUCGGCCUGCGCGGAAGAUGUAACGGGGCUAAACCAUGCACCGAAGCUGCGGCAGCGACGCUGAUGCGUUGUUGGGUAGGGGAGCGUUCUGUAAGCCUGUGAAGGUGUGCUGUGAGGCAUGCUGGAGGUAUCAGAAGUGCGAAUGCUGACAUAAGUAACGAUAAAGCGGGUGAAAAGCCCGCUCGCCGGAAGACCAAGGGUUCCUGUCCAACGUUAAUCGGGGCAGGGUGAGUCGACCCCUAAGGCGAGGCCGAAAGGCGUAGUCGAUGGGAAACAGGUUAAUAUUCCUGUACUUGGUGUUACUGCGAAGGGGGGACGGAGAAGGCUAUGUUGGCCGGGCGACGGUUGUCCCGGUUUAAGCGUGUAGGCUGGUUUUC
rnacentral:rRNA from 1 species